rnacentral:tRNA from 1 species
GCAUUGAUGGUUCAGUGAUAGAAUUUUCCCUUUCCGUGUGUGAGACCUGAGUUCGAUUCCCAGCCAGUGCA